UUUUUUGUGUGUGCGCGCUAUAGGUAAAUCUGAAGUGGUAAGAAAGAGGAUUUGUGAAUUGUAGAGCUUAUUUUGUGGUUCUAGGGUUUUAGUUUGCAUUUGGAGGAGUUGUUGUUGAGUGUCCCAUGGCUUCGUAUAGGCCAUUUCCUCCAUCAUCGCAGUCGAGUUUUGUUCCUCCGCCACCGCCUCCGCAGAAUCAGAACCCUCCGCCACCGCCGUCUCAAUCCAGGGGAAGUCAG
rnacentral:misc_RNA from 1 species